UUAUCGGAGAGUUUGAUCCUGGCUCAGGACGAACGCUGGCGGCGUGCCUAAUACAUGCAAGUCGAGCGGACAGAUGGGAGCUUGCUCCCUGAUGUUAGCGGCGGACGGGUGAGUAACACGUGGGUAACCUGCCUGUAAGACUGGGAUAACUCCGGGAAACCGGGGCUAAUACCGGAUGGUUGUUUGAACCGCAUGGUUCAGACAUAAAAGGUGGCUUCGGCUACCACUUACAGAUGGACCCGCGGCGCAUUAGCUAGUUGGUGAGGUAACGGCUCACCAAGGC
rnacentral:rRNA from 1 species